AGAAAGGCCAUGUAACACGUUGUGUCUUUUACUUGUUAUGUGUUUAGAGGAGAUGCAGUGAUGGCACCACAGGGCUUUCAGGUCAGCCUGAGUGAGGACAUUGUAAUGUUCUUCAAGUUUCUCAGGACAUGCAUGAAAUGGGCAGUCAUUUCCACAUAGUGAGAUGGGCAACACGUGUCUCUGAUAGAGAAGGAAAGAGGCCUUAUACAUGCUGACAGACAUAGCAUUCCCUAAGAUGUAGCUUGUACAGAGACCAUGUGCUGGGCUCUCUGAGGGAUGAAACACACCCCUAACAUACUUUCUAGCGAGUUGAGACCUGAGCUGUUCACAGCUGCUUGAUUAGUCAUAAAAACACCUGAACCAGGGCCCUGUAAACCUUCCUCAAGGGACAGGAUCAGAUCUCCCUCUUGUCCUCAAGGGUCACCCCAGGCACGUGGAAAACACUCUGUCCCUGGUAAGGGACCCGAGAGUGUAAAUGAGUUGAAUAUAAUGAAACAUGUGGCGGAUGGUUUGUUUUUCUUCCACACAGUCUAUGCAAGUCAGAAUCAACCUCCAACCGCCUCCAUCCUUUAUGAGACCUAAGACGUGAUGCAGCUCCAAUGGGAAAUAUCAGUUGUGUCUCUACCAAGGAUGCAGAAAAAGACAAGAUUCAGGCUUGUUUCCGGGAAGAAACCCUGACAGAAAUUCAGAAGAAUGGUAGCUACAUUCCAUUAGGAAUUGACUACACGAAAUGUUCGUCUCAGGACCUUCUAGAAGAAUGAGCUGGGACCCACUUUCCGAGUCCUGCUGGAAGCAGAGACCGAGGUAAGGGCACAAACUGUCCCCCACAUCAUACAUGCUUUUUAAAAAAAACUUAUGGUUAUUUUUCGAACCUAGUGAAGUGAUUGAAAACUACAGAAAACCUGGUAGGUAGGUGUCUUAACCUUAUGUUAUCUUUUACUUUAAAAUGCACUUAGUAAACCUACAGUGUAAUAUUAGUUUCAGGUGUACAAUAUAGAGCAACACUUCCACGCGUCACCUGGUGCUCAUCCCAUGUGCACUUCUUAAUCCCCAGCAGCUGUUUCAUCCAUUCCCCCACCUCACUGUGGAACCCCUCAGUUUGUUUUCUCGUUAAGAGUGUUUGUCACUGUCUCCUCCCCCCCCCCACUUUGUUUUGUUUCAUUUCCAUGUGUUAGUGAAAUCAUCUGGUAUUUGUGUUUCUCUGACAGGCUUAUUUCACCCAGCAUAACAUUCUCUCGCUCCAUCCACCUCGUGGAAAAUGACAAGAUUUCAUGUUUUUAUGGCUAAAUAAUAUUACAUUCCAUAUACUACAUCUCAGUUUAUUCAUCAGUUGAUGGAUGCUUGGUCAGUUUCCGUAAUUUGGUUUUUGUUUCAUUUCCAUGUGUUAGUGAAAUCAUCUGGUAUUUGUGUUUCUCUGACAGGCUUAUUUCACCCAGCAUAACAUUCUCUCGCUCCAUCCACCUCGUGGAAAAUGACAAGAUUUCAUGUUUUUAUGGCUAAAUAAUAUUACAUUCCAUAUACUACAUCUCAGUUUAUUCAUCAGUUGAUGGAUGCUUGGUCAGUUUCCAUAAGUUGGCUUUUGUAGAGAAUG
rnacentral:lncRNA from 1 species